rnacentral:rRNA from 1 species
UUAGUACGGCGAGUGAAGCGGUAAAAGCUCAAAUUUGAAAUCUGGUACUUUCAGUGCCCGAGUUGUAAUUUGUAGAAUUUGUCUUUGAUUAGGUCCUUGUCUAUGUUCCUUGGAACAGGACGUCAUAGAGGGUGAGAAUCCCGUUUGGCGAGGAUACCUUUUCUCUGUAAGACUUUUUCGAAGAGUCGAGUUGUUUGGGAAUGCAGCUCAAAGUGGGUGGUAAAUUCCAUCUAAAGCUAAAUAUUGGCGAGAGACCGAUAGCGAACAAGUACAGUGAUGGAAAGAUGAAAAGAACUUUGAAAAGAGAGUGAAAAAGUACGUGAAAUUGUUGAAAGGGAAGGGCAUUUGAUCAGACAUGGUGUUUUUUGCAUGCACUCGCCUCUCGUGGGCUUGGGCCUCUCAAAAAUUUCACUGGGCCAACAUCAAUUCUGGCAGUAGGAUAAAUCAUUAAGAAUGUAGCUACCUCGGUAGUGUUAUAGCUUAUUGGAAUACUGCUAGCUGGGAUUGAGGACUGCGCUUCGGCAAGGAUGUUGGCAUAAUGGUUAAAUGCCGCCCGUCUUGAACCACGGACCAA